rnacentral:rRNA from 1 species
GGCCCUACGGGGCGCAGCAGGCGCGAAACCUCCGCAAUGUGAGCAAUCGCGACGGGGGGACCCAAGUGCCAUUCUUAACGGGAUGGCUUUUCUUGAGUGUAAAAAGCUCUUGGAAUAAGAGCUGGGCAAGACCGGUGCCAGCCGCCGCGGUAACACCGGCAGCUCUAGUGGUAGCCAUUUUUAUUGGGCCUAAAGCGUUCGUAGCCGGUUUAAUAAGUCUCUGGUGAAAUCCUGCAGCUUAACUGUAGGAAUUGCUGGAGAUACUAUUA